GCAGUGGUAGCUCAGUGGUUAAGACAUUGAACUUCUGAUGAGAAAGUCAUGACUUCAAAUCUCAGCACUGCC